CUACGGGGUGCAGCAGUGAGGAAUAUUGCACAAUGGAGGAAACGCUGAUGCAGCAACGCCGCGUGGAGGAUGACGCAUUUCGGUGUGUAAACUCCUUUUAUGAGUCAAGAAAAUGACGGUAGCUCAUGAAUAAGCACCGGCUAACUCCGUGCCAGCAGCCGCGGUAAUACGGAGGGUGCAAGCGUUACUCGGAAUCACUGGGCGUAAAGGACGCGUAGGCGGGAUAUCAAGUCAGGUGUGAAAUCCUACAGCUUAAAUGUAGAACUGCACUUGAAACUGGUAACCUAGAGUAUGGGAGGGGGAGAUGGAAUUAGUGGUGUAGGGGUAAAAUCCGUAGAUAUCACUAGGAAUACCUAAAGCGAAGGCGAUCUCCUGGAACAUAACUGACGCUAAGGCGUGAAAGCGUGGGGAGCAAACAGGAUUAGAUACCCCUGUAGUC
rnacentral:rRNA from 1 species